rnacentral:lncRNA from 1 species
CGCCGGGGUCCGGAAGUGCCGCGAGGGGAGGCGGCGGCUGCCGGGAGCCGCGAGCCCCGCCGGGACGCCCCGUUAAGAGAGAGUUAAGGGAGGCUGGCUCUUAAACGGGCGACGUCACCGCGACCCCUGGUGGGCUGGCGCGGCGUAGAGUGGAGCCCCGGGCACUUCUUUAAAAGGGGGAACGGCGUUGUGCGAGGCGGAGUGCGGAGCUAGAAGGGGGCGGUCGGAGCGCGAGCUGUCAACUCUGGCGCCUCCCCGCUCCGCCCCGAGGCUCCGAAGUGACAGGUGGAAUAGCAGCCUGGGCUUCGGACUCCAGGCCUAGGUUUAUCCUCUGGGAGGGGACGUUCAGUUUGGUGUCACUGCCUUGGUUGUUUAAGGUGCCAGAAGUUUUACCCACCAUUGCUUUAGCACCAUCAGUGCAAACGACAACACAGUUAAAAAGACAGGGUCUUGCUCUGUUGCCCAGGCUGGAGUGCAGUGGUACGAUCAUGGCUCACUGCAGCCUCGACCUCCGGGGCUCAAGUGAUCUCCUACCUCAGACCCUGGAGUAGCUGGUACUACAGGCACACACCACCACACGAGGCUAAUUUUUUUUUGUAGAGAUAGGUCUCACUAUUGAAGAUCUUUAUAUUGCAUGUUAAUACUCAUCAGAGAGCACCUGCCACAGGGGAGACUGCAUAAUCAAGUAGAUAGAAUGAUGUGGAAUUGAUGUUAGCUUGCCUCUGUCAUUGACCACCCCAUGCCAGCACAAUGGGCACAUGAAUAAAGUGGCCAUGGUGGCAUAGAUGGAGGUGACACGUGUCGCAUGUGUGUGGUGGCAGGGGUGGCUCAACAGAAUGGGCUCCCACUCACCAAGGCCAAUUACCUAUUGUCACUGCUAAAAGUCCAACCUGCCAGCAACUGAUACCAGCCACGCAGUACCAAGCUGGCUACCUUGGACCUGUUCCACUCCAGAAGGGUGAGGGACUCAUCUUGACCUGAAUUGCCAUAUAUUCUGGAUAUGGAUUUGUCUUUUCUGCUCAAAGGCCACUCUCUGGGGGCUAAAAGAGUGUUUGAUUCACUGACGUGGGAUCUCACAUACCAUUGCAGAAGACCAAGAGUCCCACUUUAAGGAUAGAAUGGGCACAUGAUCAUGGGAUCUUUUAGGCCUAUUACAUACUUCACCAUCCAGAAGCUGAAUAGAGCUGGUGGAAUGAUAGAACAGCCUUUAGAAGCACAGCUGAAAUACCAUGUUAGAGAUGAUGGGACACCGUGCUCCAGGAUGAGGUAUGCAUCCUAAUCAAUAACUGUUAUAUAUGGUGCUAUGUGUCAACGUGUAGAAUAGAGGUUUAGGAAACUAGGGGUAGAAGUAGGAAUGACUCCACUUACCAUCACUCCCAGUGACCUUUCUGGAGGAAUUUGUGGUUCCCAUUCCUGCAGUUCCAAGCUCUCCAGGUUCAGAGAAUCUGGUUCCCAGAGGGGGAGCACUUCCACCAGGGACAGAACAAGAACCCCAUAAACUUAAGUAUGGCUGCUUUCUGUUCGUCAGACUCUUUGUGCCAAGAAACCAGCAGGAAAGAAGAGGAGUCACUUCCUGGAAGGGGCAACUGACCCCCAUCCUUUGGGAGAGAUAGGGCUGCUGUUACAUAAGGGGGUCAGGAAAGAAUAUGUUUGGCACCCAGGUGAUCCACUGGGGUGUCUGUUGGUAUGCCCAAUUUUGGUGGAAGGUGGACACAUCAGCAGCAUGGUCUGAAGGCCAUGGUGAUUGGUGAUUGGUUACCCCGACAGGCAAGCCACCUACACCAGCAGAGGUGCAAGUUGAAGGUAAAAAGAAUCUAGAAUGAGUGACAGAGAAGGGGAAUGAUGAACAUCAAUUGUGUCACCAAGACUAGUUGCAGUAGUGGGGGCUAUAGUUUCUCCAUUUAAUUCUUGUAAGUUUCCCAGAAUCCAGGAGGAGCUAUUCCCAGGUAGAGUGAACUUACCACAUAAAUCAAGUAGGUCUGGGCUAUGCCUGGGGGUACUGUCUCGGUUGCUGUGGUGCACCACCCAGAUACUGCUUUUAGGACCAAGGAGCUUAUCCCUGAAGUUGCCAGAAGUGUUGGCUGCCAAUGGCUCACACAUGAGUCUCUCCCUUGGCAUUUCCUUCAGCUGCUAAAGGGAGCUGUCUUGCUGGACUUCACAACCCUUCCCUAGGGGUCAUCUGCCAAGUCAAUGUGGAAUUCAAAGGUACAGCCCUCUUAUCCAAGUUGGGGCUAACUCUACGGGGCCAGCUCAACCCCAGGGCUUCCUGUGGAAGCAUUCUGUAUUGUGACUGCAUUGUUCACCAAUUUCUUCCUCUGGCUUGAUUCUGAUUCUUUCACUAGUUCACAGAUGUUAUCUCUGAAAGCACCCCCAAUAAACUUCCUACAAGAAAAUCUCUAUCUCGGCAUGUUUCCUGAGAAACCUGACCUAAGACAGUCUCCUAAGAUUCUAACUUUAAAAAAAUAUGUACUUAAAUUUUUUUUGAGAGAGAGUCUCGCUCUGUCGCACAGGCUGAAGUGCAGUGGCACAAUCUUGGGUCACUGCAACCUCCGCCUCCCGGGUUCAAGCAAUUCUCCUGACUCAGCCUCCUGAGUAGCUGGGACUACAGGCAUGUGCCACUGCGCCUGGCUAAUUUUUAUAUUUUUAGUAGAGAUGGGGUUUCACCAUGUUGGCCAGGUGGGACUUGAGCUCCUGGCCUCAGAUGGUCUGCCCCCCUCAGCCCCCCAAAGUGCUGAGAUUACAGGCGUGAGCCACCGCACCUGGCCUAGAUUCUAACUUUUGGGACCUCAGAGAACAAGACUCAUCCAUGUGAAGUUGGGCCUCCUGGCCACCUGUGUCUUCUAUAAAGUGGUUCUCUUCAGAGUGUUGCCUGCAUCCUGGCUGCUUUCCACCAAAUAUCCUUCAACUUAUGACCUUCCCUGCAACAAAGCAACCUAAACUGAAUUCCUCAAGUAUUUUGGGUGUGGUCUGUUGUGCUGAGAAUGAGAAUGGGACUGAUUGUUCCUUGGUUCAAAAGCCCUGGAUGCAUCUUGGAAUGAGGGGGGAUACUCUUUAGAAACUCAAACUCCUGGCUGGGCGCAGUGACUCAUGCCUAUAAUCCCAACACUUUGGGAGGCCAAGGCACGAGGAUUGCUUGAGCCCAUGAGCUUGAGACCAGCCUGGGUAGCAGAGUGAAACCUGUCUCUAAAAAAAAAUAAAAGAAAUGCAAACUCCUCACCUUCCUUUCCCUCUCUCAUCUCAUCCCAGAUCACGAUUCAGAGGGUCUUGGUACAGCAAGGAAUAUGCAGUGUUACCAGAGCUUUGCAGGUGGUUCUGGUGUGAUAUCAAGAUGGAGAACCACAGGGCUCAGUACCCGACUUCAGUUCGGCAGCCUGAGUCUGCCCGUUUUUAUUGGCAGCUCUGUCAUUUGACUCAGAUGGAGCUGGCUGUCAGCGAAAACCCUCAGUUUUAUUCACACAUGCUUCUGCUAAGCUGCCACUUCCCCACCCUGUCCUUGUACAGUCGGUGUCUUGGCACCAAGCCCAGAUCUCUCAGUUAAGCCCUGUUCAUUUCACCUUGGGAGGUUUAGGCCAGUGCUCCAAUAGGUUAGAAUGUUUUUGGAUCCUGAGUCUGUCUUCCAACAUAUUCCUGUCUUCGCUGGCUCCUUGCUAUUCGCAAAGUUGAGGGGCUUGUUCUCUGUGGCUUUGCCCAGGUCCUGAUAAAAAGGUGGAUCAGAUGCCAAGUUUGGUGGUACAUGCCCAUAAUCCCAGCUACUGGAGAGGGUGAGGUGGGAGGAUUGCUUGAGCCCAG